rnacentral:rRNA from 1 species
UGGGGAAUAUUGGACAAUGGGCGAAAGCCUGAUCCAGCCAUGCCGCGUGUGUGAAGAAGGUCUUCGGAUUGUAAAGCACUUUAAGUUGGGAGGAAGGGCAGUAAGCGAAUACCUUGCUGUUUUGACGUUACCGACAGAAUAAGCAGCGGCUAACUCUGUGCCAGCAGCCGCGGUAAUACAGAGGGUGCAAGCGUUAAUCGGAAUUACUGGGCGUAAAGCGCGCGUAGGUGGUUCGUUAAGUUGAAUGUGAAAGCCCCGGGCUCAACCUGGGAACUGCAUCCAAAACUGGCGAGCUAGAGUAGGGCAGAGGGUGGUGGAAUUUCCUGUGUAGCGGUGAAAUGCGUAGAUAUAGGAAGGAACACCAGUGGCGAAGGCGACCACCUGGGCUCAUACUGACACUGAGGUGCGAAAGCGUGGGGAGCAAACAGG